CCAAUUAAUUAAUUACAGAAAUGUUAUUAAAACGUUUAUUUAGAAGUACUUUAACAGUCAAUAGAUACAAGAAACAAGUUUUGAUUUAAAAAGAAAAUCAUUAAUAAAUUUUUUUUUAGGUUAUGUUCAAAUUUUAAAAACAAAUAUAGCACAAAAACCGCAACAAGCACUGAUUUAGCCGAAAUUCCAUUAGAACGGAUUCGAAAUUUUAGUAUAAUUGCGCAUGUUGAUCAUAGGAAAAGCACAUUAUCUGAUAAAAUCUUAAAUUUUACAGGGGCUAUUUCACAUAAAUCAGGAGAUAGUCAAAUUUUGGAUAAAUUGAGAGUUGAAAAAGAAAUCCCACAUUCAGUUAGAACAGUUAGAGGACAAAGUGCUUAUAUUUUGUAUGAUUUUAACCAAUUUAUCCUUUUCAAUAAUUUUUGUGCUUCUUCUAGCGAUGUUAUUUGUACACUUUGAUCUUAAGAGUUCCUUUUAUUUCUAGCUAAGGGGCCUUGGUGUUGAUCGCAAAUCAAACAAUUUAAGGACACAACUUUGGUAGAACUUGAUUUGAGCACAUCUUGCAGUUCAAAUUAAAUUGCGAUACAUUAUUCUUGAAGAUGUUUAAUUUCUAAAAUAAUCACAUUUAAGAAAAUUCAUAAACAACAACAAUAACAUGUUUUAUUUUUAAA